AAAGGGAGAUGACGAUUAAGCUCUUCUGUAAUGAAAGACAAAUUAUAUCAUGGAAGAAGAAAUGAGCUAUCCCGUGGAGUUACAAAAUGAUAAUUGAAAUCUAGAGGUGAGAAGUUUGGAGCUUAAGUGGAAUGCAGUGGUGGAGUGAAGAUUUAUACUGUACCUGAUUCUUUUACUGGCAAGCAUGAUCAUAGAGUUCCUGGAAGCAUUGCCCUGGAGUUUUAUCUCCACACACAGACAGUGAAAUGAUCAACAGGAGACCUAAACAAACACAUCUUCCAGACUGUAUUAAAAGUUACAGAUUUCUC